rnacentral:lncRNA from 1 species
UCGCCAAAGGUGGGAGUUCAUGUGAAGUGUAAGGCUUACCAAAGAUGAUGGCUGAAGCUGAGCAUUGCUUUUAAAGUUGGUCAAAAUUUUAUUAGCCAUUACUAAGCAUAAGUAAAUACCAACCCAAUUAAAUAGUAGAACAGAAGUAACAACAUCACCUGCGAUGCAAUGCAUAUGACAAAUUGAAUUUAAGUUCCAUAGAUUAAUCAUGUGAGUGUCCGAGCUGCUCAUGACCGUGAGCACGGCUAGUAUACCAGUUUUACACUCUGCAGAGGUUGCGCAUCUUUACCCACAAGUCAUGUUACCCAUCUGCCAAGGGAUCGCGACUUCCCAUACACCUCUACCGAGGAGGCGAGGCAGGGUAACACUACGAGGCCUUUACAAAGUUCCACUAGCUUCAGAAAACCCGCUACAGUUUAUAGGAAGCUCCAAUGCAGGAAUCCCUUGCAGGACCGCCAUCACAGCAAAAUCCUCCCGAGGGCCUUCCCAGGAAUCCCUUGCAGGACCGCCAUCACAGCAAAAUCCUCCCGAGGGCCUCCCCAGGAAUCCCUUGCAGGACCGCCAUCACAGCAAAAUCCUCCCGAGGGCCUCCCUACACUGACCACUCCCCUACUGCCCUUGCCCCUUUCGGGUAAGGUAGUCCUCCACUAGCUUUCCUAAUUAGUCAGCCAAGGGCGUCCAUAAACCCUUGUGGUAGCACUGUUUUCCCGGGUGGUUCUCCAUGUUCCAAUUAACAUAAUGAUCUUAACAUGAACAAUAAAUAACAACUGAUAACAAAAGUAUAAUCAUGAAUAGUGUAAUCUUCAUACCCAAAACCACAUAAAGCAAUAGCAAGUACUACCCAAAAAGUCCAGUGGUAAUCAAGGUAUAAAGAUAGUCAAACUAGGGUAACCUGUUGGGUCCCAUCAAAAUUAACCUAUGCAGAUCAUUAUGAUUAAUUAGAACAUGAGUGGGUAAAAGAAGUGAUCAAGGGCACAACUUGCCUGAGACUUGAGAUUCCAGGUACCAGGAUGAUCUUCAGGUGACACGUGACCUCACGCUAGUCGUAGCAAUACAAACAAGCAGUGUAUAGGCAAAAUUAUCAUCACACCAAACAUGCAAACAAAAUACAUAAUAAUAAUCUACUCAUUAAAAUAAGAUUCUAGGAACAGAAAUCAUUAAUUUUGGAGUUACGGAUUCUCAGUUAUGAUUUUCUGAAGUUAAUAAGCAUCUAGAAUAGAUUAAUCCAAAUGAAUAAUUUUAAUUUAAGUUUUAUGGUUAAACAAUGUUACUAGUUGAUAGACAAUGUUAAUACGAAAUUAUUGCAACUGGAAUGGUUUAAAAAGGAGUUAAAAUAAAGAAGUUAUGAAUUAUCUAAGUUUCUGAAUUUAUUUUAAUACUAAAAAUCUACUUUUAUAUUAAUAUAAUCAUUUUAUACAACUACUGGAUCGAGGCAGCUAUUUCAGAAGAGUCCAGGGUCUAUCUCGCAUAAAACAGGACCUAACCGUAAGGGUUUUUAAAUGUCAUAGGACGGUGGGUUGGUUUACGGAAAGUAGGGGGGCUCUUUUGUAAACCAGCCAUGCCGAAGGGGUAUGCUUCAAUCUCAGCCGUUGGAUCGGAUUUCAGCGGCCCAGAUUAGGUCAUCCAUUAAAGCGAAGCGGUAUGCUAUGCCAGCCGUUGGAUCAGUAGAUCAGUGGCACAGAUUAAAUUGAAGCGAACUCUAAUCUCACCCCUCUGCAACCGAUCCAACGGACCACACUACAUCGCAUGAACAGCUGCGCCAGAUCGAACCCCAACCGUAUAUCCCAGGAUCAACGGCUAAGAUUCAACACUACGAAUCGUUUUCCCCUGCUAAUCUGAACCGUCCAAAAGAUCGACGGUCCACAAUCAACCCUGAGGUGACACGCCCAGGAGCUGAUCUAAGCCGCAUGUUCACCAUCCCACGGCCCCCCCACGCUUCAUCCGAAGCAGUGCCCAGACUUCCAGCAAUCGAGCGCGGCGGCGCCCCUCGCCGGAGAGGGCAAAAUCGAUCCCCCCCUAGCGACCGAUUCACCACAAGCGCUGACGCAAAACGAUGCAGAGGCGAUCGCGAAUUAGAUGGUGGGCUUACCUCCAAAGAUUGUGGCGUUCGGAGCCCUGCCCACGGAGAUGUGCGGCUGCGGCGAACCCCAAUGUUCCAGUGAGCAAUUGAGCUAGCUCCGGUGGUCAAUACUUUCCGCCGAGCUCACGAACGACUUCGUCUCCCACCCGCGACAACCACUACUCCACGGUGAAGGACUAGGACCGCGGUGCGGCCGACACAAGCGCAGCGCGACAAUCGGUGGACUUCGAUCCGCACUCACGACGCAGUGCGCAGCUCUCUCCCAAUCGCGAGCUCACAGUUGGUGCUAAAAUUCUUUGUUCCUGGCGGCUAGGAUGGGGAGGGGAUGCUAGCCUAUUUAUACGCACGAGACUGGAUAAGGAGGGGAGGGUCCGGAUGAAUCCCGCCCGGAUUUCUCGCCAACAACCCGCUAGAGCCACGCUAGGAACGGAGGUGGGUGAUGGAUCUUACACGGUGGCCCCACCUGGCAGUGACACAGUGAAAAAGAAAAAGAAAAGGGGGCGCAAGUGGGCCGCGCGGGAGAGAAGGAGGAGAUGGGCCAGAAUGGGUACAGUCGGCCCAGGUAAGGUUUCUUCUCUUUUUCUUUUUAUUUUCUGUUUCAUUUCUUUUUCAAAUUCAAACUUCAAUUCAAAUUUAAACACGAUUUAACUUUGAAUUUCAAACAUCAUUCUAAUGUGAAACCAAAUCCUAACUUCAUGUUUACUAUUAUUUAUAUUAUUAUUAUUAUUAUUUAUCUUCCCCUCACCAUUUAAUUAAAUGAUUAUCAUAAUUAUCUUUCUCAAUUCUUUUCAAAUCCAUGUUUUGAUCUUCAAAUUUCCAAGUGUCUAAAUUCACACUAAUGUGAAUAUAACUUAUAUCGUUUACAAUGUUAUUAGUAUUAGUUUUUUUUAUUCUUCUCAUUGUUAUGUAUUCAUGUUCUUUUCUUCUUCUACUAUUUAUUAUUUAUUUUCUUCUGAUGCAAAUUUUGGGCUUUACAAAUCCUACCCCCCUUAACAGAAAUCUCGUCCUCGAGAUUUGUAAGGACAGGGAUGUAAAAAGCUCUAUUUAUAAUUUAGCCUUUAACUUCUAAUUAGUUUAAGAACUAAGAAGUUUCAUGUUAUUUAGAUAGUGGUUAUGAAAGCAUGGGUAUGUAUAUCCACUUUAUUAUGUAGGAUAAUAAGAUGUCUUUAAAGUAUAUAUAGGUUUGGGUAAAAAGGAGUAGGGUAAGGAAAGACUCCAUCCAAGAUUUGUGGAUCUUGAUUCAUCUAAUGAUCUAGCUUGAUCUUUGAAGGCUUGAGUUGAUGUUUAUCCUUCUUUGACGUGGUUGGUCUUCUUUGGUCUUUCUUCUUGGAGUUGCCAUCCAAGUUAAGGGCAUAUAGUUAGGAUAGUCGGGGUACACGAGGUAGGUAGGUUUGAAUAAAGUUGUAUUUUGCUUUUCGAACAAAUGGACUAGGCAGCCUGUGAUGUAGGUUAUAUUGUUGUUUACGGACAAGUUGGUAUAUGACAUUAAUUUAGGUUAGGUUAUGUUUGAAGCAGUGUCUAACCCACAUCACCAGAUUAGCUAACAUGUUAAUAACUCACUUUAGAUUGGAUAAUAUUAGACUAGAUGGGAUCUAGAUUAUAUCGGUUAAGAUAUGAGGUCAGUUAGAUCUAUUAGGAUAAGAUAACAUCUUUUCAAGAUAAGAUUAAUCUAUUAAGGUGAGAGGGUAUCUUUUAGGAUAAGAUGAAGCUAUUAGGCUUGUUAUAUUUUAAUGGGGGUAUUCUUAGUUGGUCUAGUUUAUCUCAUAAACCAAUUAUGAGAAUAAGAUGUUUUUUUAUAAGAUGAACCUGUUAGGAUAGGAUGGAAUCCUUUAAGUUAAGAAGGAUCUAUUUAAAAUAGUUACAUUUCAAUGAAGGAUAAUUUAGGUUGUUUAGUUAUCUUAUGAAUUUUAUUUAUUUAUCUUUAUGCCUAUAUGCAGAUGUAAUUGUGGAGAUUACUCCACAACUCAUCACACUCAAUCAAAGAUCCAAAUUAGACAAGUAUCAUAAGAACAAACAUUCAAGCACAUAGAUACCUAAAAAAAUAAUUUUGAUUUUUGUUCGUAAAAGUAGGUCUCCUAUUCCUAAAAGUCACUUUAGGCACAGGAUUUCAAAGUGUGAAAUCCAUAUUUGUCUUUAGAAGGAAAAGGUAAGAAUAAUCAGAGUAAAGCGGAAAUAGAUGAGAAAAGAUUAAGAAAAGUUUAGAAAGAAUCAGAGUAGCAAAGGUAAGUAGAUAAUGGUUGUCCAGUUCUAUCUAGGUUUCGUCCUACAGUCAACAUUCCUCUGAUACCACUUCUGUCACACCCGGAUUUUAGGGGUCCAAAACCCGGGCGUAAACAUAAUCACCAGGUGUGCUGGGACCAAGUCUCACACAUAUGAUGAAUCAUGGCACAGGAUCGAAUGUCACAUCUUUACUACAUAACAGGAGUUCUAUACAAAAUAAGUAAAUAAUUACAUUAUAAGGAGACAACGGUCCAGCAACCCAAAGUUGACUGGGAGACGACGGCCUAGAUCUCUCACGAACACAUCACAGCAUCCUCCAAGCGCCUCAUCCUGCGGUACCUGUUCUUGACCUGUGGGGGGGGUGUGAGACAGCAAGAGUGAGCUCACAUACGUUCAUCGCUCAACAAGUUGUGGGGAAUAAUGUGAAUGAACUCGCCAAAGGUGGGAGUUCAUGUGAAGUGUAAGGCUUACCAAAGAUGAUGGCUGAAGCUGAGCAUUGCUUUUAAAGUUGGUCAAAAUUUUAUUAGCCAUUACUAAGCAUAAGUAAAUACCAACCCAAUUAAAUAGUAGAACAGAAGUAACAACAUCACCUGCGAUGCAAUGCAUAUGACAAAUUGAAUUUAAGUUCCAUAGAUUAAUCAUGUGAGUGUCCG